CAAUAACAUCUACGACAACGAUUUCAGUAUCCUGUAUAAUUCACGAACACACAAGCAUAUCCCAAACCCUGGAACGAACAACUUCCAAUCCACAAAAUCUAAUCAAAAAAAUUCCUUCGAUUACAAUCCCUCUCCACUAAACUUACAAUCUUGCGAUAAACAAUGACUAGAAACUUCCAUACGUCCUUAAUCUUUCACAACAAUUGAUAAAUAGUGAUCCAUAAAUAACUUCGUAAAUCAAACAUUAAUUCAUUAAAUCAAUUCUCUUCACUAGAAUCAACACUAAUACAAAAGAAACAAGAAAACUAAAAAGAAGAGAUA
rnacentral:lncRNA from 1 species